AGUCGGACAGGUGUUCGCGGCUGUACUUUGGUACAGGUGAGGAAAGUCCGGGCUUCGCAGGGCAGGAUGCCGGAUAACGUCCGGUGGAGGUGACUCCCAGGCUAGUGCAACAGAGAUAUACCGCUCCGGGUGACCGGAGUAAGGGUGGAAAGGCAGUGUAAGAGACUACCGUCCUGCUGGUAACAGCAGGAGCCAUGUAAACCCCAUCCGAAGCAAGGUCAAAUAGAGAACAAUAGGCUUGCCCGGUCUGUUCUCAGGUGGACCGCUUGAGACUGUUGGCGACAGCAGUCCUAGAUAGAUGAACAUCCAACGACAUAACCCGGCUUAUCGUCCGGCUUAU
rnacentral:RNase_P_RNA from 1 species